CCUGAGCCGAACUCAAGAGUGGAAUGCUCAACUCACUGAGCUACCCAAGACACCCCUCUAUAUUGUUUUAAUCAAUAGGAACACAGGUCCUUCCUUUUUUCCAUGUCUACCAGCUGUGUUUGUGAAUGUUCAAGAGAAGAUAAAGGAUUGAGAGCUGGAAUCAGUCAACUGAAUUGCUUGUCAGGAGAUUCAGAAGGUUUGGAGAAAGGUAAGGCACAACCAAGUAUUUAAAAUAAGAUCUCUAAGCUAAGGGUCCUAUUCAUUUUUCUCUAUAUAGUUAUAUCCAGUUUUCCGAGCACCAUUUGUUAGAGACUAUUCUUCCCUUAUUGGGUAUUCUUGGCUCCCUUGCCAAAUAUUGAUUGACUUCAUAUGCAGAAGUUUUUUUUCUGGACUCUCUAUUAUGUCCCACUGAUCUAUGUGUCUAUUUAUGCCAUGGCGUACUGUUAUAAUUAUUAUAGUUUUGUAAUAUAGGUACACCUUGUUUAUUGUGCUUUGUUUUAUUGCACUUCACAAAUAUUGUGGGUUUUUGUUUUUUAUUUUUACAAAUUGAAACUUUGUGGCAUUCCUACAUUGAGCCUAUCUCUUGGUAUCAUUUUUCCAGUAGCAUUUACUCACUUUGUGUUUCUGUGUCACAUUUUGGCAAUUCUUGCAAUAUUUCUGAAUUUUCAUUAUUAUACUUGUUAUGGUGGUCUAUAAUCUUUGGUGUUACUAUAGUAACUGUUUUGGGGUACCACAAAUCUCACCCAUAUAAGAUGACAAAACUUCAUCAAUAAAUGUUUUGUGUGUUCUGACCGCU